rnacentral:rRNA from 1 species
CAGUCGCCGCGGGAAUACAGAGGGUGCGAGCGUUAAUCGGAAUUACUGGGCGUAAAGCGUGCGCAGGCGGUUUUGUAAGACAGGCGUGAAAUCCCCGGGCUCAACCUGGGAAUGGCGCUUGUGACUGCAAAGCUAGAGUGCGGCAGAGGGGGAUGGAAUUCCGCGUGUAGCAGUGAAAUGCGUAGAUAUGCGGAGGAACACCGAUGGCGAAGGCAAUCCCCUGGGCCUGCACUGACGCUCAUGCACGAAAGCGUGGGGAGCAAACAGGAUUAGAUACCCCCGUAGUCCCUGUCUCUUAUAC